GUUCGGGAUAAGCCUGGGAAACUGGGUCUAAUACCGGAUAGGAGCCAUUUUUAGUGUGAUGGUUGGAAAGUUUUUUCGGUGUAGGAUGAGCUCGCGGCCUAUCAGCUUGUUGGUGGGGUAAUGGCCUACCAAGGCGGCGACGGGUAGCCGGCCUGAUAGGAUGGACGGCCACAUUGGGACUGAGAUACGGCCCAG
rnacentral:rRNA from 1 species